AAUCCAUGUUGUGGGCAUGAACUGACAAGAUCCUUGAAUCGUUCCCAACAUUGGAAGAAGGUCUCAUCUUCCUUUUGGGUGAAGUUCAUGAUUGAAUUCCUUAUGGU